UCGGCUUAGAGUUUGAUCCUGGCUCAGAAUGAACGCUGGCGGCGUGCCUUACACAUGCAAGUCGAGCGAGGCGGCCCGCAAGGGUCAGUCGAGCGGCGGACGGGUGAGUAACACGUGGAUAACCUGCCCUGAGGUGGGGGAUAACCCGGGGAAACUCGGGCUAAUACCGCAUGAUACCGAGAGGUCAAAGGGGGCUCGCAAGGGCUCUCGCCAUGGGAGGGGUCCGCGUCCGAUUAGCUAGUUGGUAGGGUAAUGGCCUACCAAGGCAACGAUCGGUAGCCGGCCUGAGAGGGUGAUCGGCCACACUGGAACUGAGACACGGUCCAGACUCCUACGGGAGGCAGCAGUGGGGAAUUUUGCGCAAUGGGCUAACGCCUGACGCAGCAACGCCGCGUGGAGGAUGAAGGNCUUUGCAUUGUAAACUCCUGUCAGCAGGGAAAAAGCGACUCGGCCUA
rnacentral:rRNA from 1 species